UACGGGGGGAGCAAGCGUUGUUCGGAUUUACUGGGCGUAAAGGGCGCGUAGGCGGCCACCGCAAGUCAGUUGUGAAAUCUCUGGGCUUAACCCAGAACGGUCAGCUGAUACUGCGGGGCUAGAGUGCAGAAGGGGCAACUGGAAUUCUCGGUGUAGCGGUGAAAUGCGUAGAUAUCGAGAGGAACACCUGCGGCGAAGGCGGCUCCUCGUGGGACGGUACUGACGCUGAGACGCGAAAGCGUGGGGAGCGAACAGG
rnacentral:rRNA from 1 species